GAUGAACGCUGGCGGCGUGCCUAACACAUGCAAGUCGAACGGAGAUUCCGGACGGAAGUUUUCGGAUGGAAGCCUGUACUUCUUAGUGGCGGACGGGUGAGUAACGCGUGGGCAACCUGCCCUAUACAGGGGGAUAGCAGCUGGAAACGGCUGGUAAGACCGCAUAAGUCGGUUAAAUCGCAUGAUUUGAUCGGGAAAUGAGCAAUCAGGUAUAGGAUGGGCCCGCGUCCGAUUAGCCAGUUGGCAGGGUAAAAGCCUACCAAAGCGACGAUCGGUAGCCGGACUGAGAGGUCGGACGGCCACAUUGGGACUGAGACACGGCCCAAACUCCUACGGGAGGCAGCAGUGGGGGAUAUUGCACAAUGGAGGAAACUCUGAUGCAGCGACGCCGCGUGAGUGAAGAAGUAUUUCGGUAUGUAAAGCUCUAUCAGCAGGGAAGAUGAUGACGGUACCUGACUAAGAAGCCCCGGCUAACUACGUG
rnacentral:rRNA from 1 species